rnacentral:rRNA from 1 species
UACGAGGGGGGCGAGCGUUGUUCGGAAUUAUUGGGCGUAAAGGGUGCGUAGGCGGCCUGACAAGUCUGAUGUGAAAUCCCUGGGCUCAACCCAGGGCCUGCAUCGGAAACUGUCGGGCUUGAGUAUGGGAGAGGUGAGUGGAAUUUCCGGUGUAGCGGUGAAAUGCGUAGAGAUCGGAAAGAACACCAACGGCGAAAGCACUCUGCUGGGCCGACACUGACACUGAGAGACGAAAGCUAGGGGAGCGAAUGGG